CUCGACCUCAGGACAACUCUUAAAGCUAUGAGACCUACGCGCUAGCCAACUGCUCCACCACCCGGUGUUCUUUGUUCGAUGCGAAGAUUAUAUAUCAAAACAUUGUUCAGCACGUUCAACAAUUACUUCCCUCUUCUCACCGGCCUUUCUUUUUUUAGUCAGGGGUACCGUUUUUUGUGGAUUACUUCUUGGAACUCGUUUGACUUAAUCUGGGCAAGAAGCAGCAGAGCAAGAUGGCCAAUCAUUUGAUAAUCUUGGGUGUUUCCCUUCUCUUGCUCAUUUUCCUUAAUGGAAUUCAGGGCAUUUAUGAUCGUAGCUACAUGCAGCAGAUUUUAAGCUCAGCCCAACAAGAUAAACAUUGGUUAGUAUCCAUCAGGAGACAAAUCCAUGAAAACCCAGAACUCAGAUUUGAAGAACACAACACCAGUGCUCUUAUUCGCAGGGAACUUGACAGGCUUGGCAUCCCUUAUGAAUACCCACUUGCCAAAACUGGCGUCGUCGCCCAAAUUGGUUUCGGUUCUUGGCCAGUCGUUGCUCUCCGGGCCGACAUGGAUGCUCUUCCCUUGCAAGUAAUUAACAUACGGGUUUCACUUUUUUCCCUCUCCGUUCUCAUGUUGUUUUGUUUUGUUCUCUACUAUAUGCCUUUAGUUAUAUGUAGGAGCUGGUUGAGUGGGAGCAUAAGAGCAAAAUUGAUGGUAAAAUGCAUGGAUGUGGGCACGAUUCCCACACUACAAUGCUCCUCGGUGCUGCCAAGUUGCUUAAUGAGCGUAAACCCAAACUUAAGGGAACUGUGCGACUUCUUUUCCAACCAGCAGAGGAAGGAGGUGCUGGUGCAUCUCAUAUGAUAGAAGAAGGUGCACUGGGUGACUCUGAAGCAAUAUUUGCAAUGCACAUAGGUACUGAAUUACCCACGGGAAGCAUAUCAUCCCUAUCAGGGCCAGUCUUAGCUGCUGUGUCAUUCUUUGAAGCUAAAAUUGAAGGCAAAGGUGGCCAUGCUGCAGAGCCCCAUACUAAUGUGGAUCCAAUACUUGCUGUAUCAUUUGCAAUUCUGGCAUUGCAACAGCUCAUCUCGAGAGAAGUUGAUCCCCUCCAUAGUGAAGUGCUGUCUGUUACUUAUGUCAAAGGCGGAACUGCCCUGAAUGUAAUUCCACCAUAUGUUGAAUUUGGGGGUACUUUGAGGAGUCUAACAACUGAGGGCUUGCAUCAACUCCAGCGGAGAAUGAAACAGGUUAUUGAAGGCCAGGCAGCUGUGCACAGAUGUAAUGCAUACAUUAACAUGGAAAAUGAAGGCUACCCAGCAUAUCCUGCUGUUGUAAAUGAUGAAAGCUUGAAUUUGCAUGUUCAGAGGAUUGGUAGUCUUCUUCUUGGUCCUAGGAAUGUGAAAAUGGGUCAGAAGGUGAUGGCUGGCGAGGACUUUGCGUUCUAUCAAGAAAAGAUUCCUGGAAUCAUGCUCAGCAUUGGAAUUAGAAAUGAAAAAUUAGGUUCAAUUCACUCCCCACACUCACCUCAUUUCUUUCUUGAUGAAGAUGUUCUUCCAAUUGGAGCAGCAUUACACACAGCCUUAGCGGAGACUUAUCUGAAUGAGCAUCAUCAGUCUGUUGAACAGUAGGUAAUCUUUUGAUUACAAGCACAAUGUAUGAUAUGUUAUGAAUUAAGUAAAUUGUGCUUCAUGUCCUUAUCCUGUGUGAGGAAAACAUAAAAUAUAUGGUUUCUAAACCAUGUUCAUUCCAUAAACUCUAGGAUCCAUGUUUGUUUCACUUAGUCCACUGAGUGAUCACAUGUAAUGCACGAUUUAUAGGGAUUAUUCCACAGUCUUAAUUGUAUACCUUGAAUGCAGAAAACACUAGCUCCACAAAUGUUGAGAGUUACCGAAGGAAGACCAAAUCCUAGCCAAAAGAAUGCAAUCUGUUUGCACCUUUUUGUCUCUUUAUCUUUGUUUUGAUUCUUGGUUGACAAAGAUCCACAAAUGCACACACACUCGACUAUUUGGGUUUCUAGUGCACACACCGUAAGAGAGAAUCAUGACUUGGCUUUAUAUAUUAUAUAUUUGUAUGGCCAUGUUUGAACCAUUGUCUUUCCAUAUGCAUGAAACAGCAUCCAAUGUAACUACCUUUUCU
rnacentral:misc_RNA from 1 species